UGAAGCAGUGGAUUUGGAUUAGAGCCAGUGAACUGCCAGGUCAUACAUCUGCAAUCCCUGACGAUACAAAUAAAAAGUUCUCCCAACCAUGAAAGUUGAAGUGAAGAAACAGAAAUGAAGGUCAAGGCUCUCUAUUUUUUUGCCUUCAUUUUAUCAGGGCAGAUAGACAAUGCUUCUUCCAAUCAUGCAGCUUAUAAUCUCUACAGCCUGUGUCAGGAUCAUUAAACUGGAUUUACUUCCAGCCUUGGUAGAUUCUGGCCAGGGUACUACUACAAAAUGCAAUGGGCAAAGGGAGAAUCACACUCUUACUGCAACUGCUGUCUCCAUGAGUUUCCCCAUCAGUGCAGUCUCGGGCUGGGAUGUGUGCCACCUGGUCAUCCAACACCUUUGUUUGCUCAAUAGCACUGGCUAGGAGCAAAAGCUUUGGAGUCAAUCUAGCACACUGGCAUUCUGGCUCUUCUGUUUCUCAUCCACACAAUCCUAAGAAAGUUACUUGGCCUCUUUGUGCCUCAGCUUUUUCAUCUCUAAGUACCGUCUCUGUGGAGAAGGGGAAUAUCUGGACAAGGACAGCUGUUUGUCCUCUGCAAAUGACCUUUCUUGCCGAAGUCACUAAUUAAGGCCACCUUCCACUUGCAUAAUGUUCAUAAGGACCAUACGGCAGCAUGGAUCAGUACUUCAUUUCUUCUAACUGCUGAAUAAAUUUCCAUUGCAUGGCUAUACCACAUCUGUUAACCAGUCUGUGGCCACCUGGGUUGUUUUUACUUUUGGGAUAUUAUAAAUAAUGCUGCAAUGAACAUUUGCAUGAAA